rnacentral:rRNA from 1 species
UGGGGAAUAUUGAACAAUGGGCGCAAGCCUGAUCCAGCAAUGCCGCGUGUGUGAAGAAGGCCUUCGGGUUGUAAAGCACUUUUAUCUGGAGCGAAAUCUGCAGGGCUAAUACCCAUGCAGUCUGACGGUACCAGCGGAAUAAGCACCGGCUAACUACGUGCCAGCAGCCGCGGUAAUACGUAGGGUGCGAGCGUUAAUCGGAAUUACUGGGCGUAAAGCGUGCGCAGGCGGUGAUGUAAGACAGAUGUGAAAUCCCCGGGCUCAACCUGGGAACUGCGUUUGUGACUGCAUCACUCGAGUACGGCAGAGGGAGGUGGAAUUCCGCGUGUAGCAGUGAAAUGCGUAGAGAUGCGGAGGAACACCAGUGGCGAAGGCGGCUACCUGGACCAGCACUGACACUGAGGCACGAAAGCGUGGGGAGCAAACA